UGAACGCUGGCGGCGUGCCUAAUACAUGCACGUCGAGCGAACAGACGAGGAGCUUGCUCCUCUGACGUUAGCGGCGGACGGGUGAGUAACACGUGGAUAACCUACCUAUAAGACCGGGAUAACUUCGGGAAACCGGAGCUAAUACCGGAUAAUAUAUUGAACCGCAUGGUUCAAUAGUGAAAGACGGUUUUGCUGUCACUUAUAGAUGGAUCCGCGCCGCAUUAGCUAGUUGGUAAGGUAACGGCUUACCAAGGCAACGAUGCGUAGCCGACCUGAGAGGGUGAUCGGCCACACUGGAACUGAGACACGGUCCAGACUCCUACGGGAGGCAGCAGUAGGGAAUCUUCCGCAAUGGGCGAAAGCUUGACGGAGCAACGCCGCGUGAGUGAUGAAGGUCUUCGGAUCGUAAAACUCUGUUAUUAGGGAAGAACAAAUGUGUAAGUAACUAUGCACGUCUUGACGGUACCUAAUCAGAAAGCCACGGCUAACUACGUG
rnacentral:rRNA from 1 species